GUCAGUGUCACGUGUUCUGCCAUCGCCGCCAUGCCGUUAAAAAGGACUACGUUUCCCGGCGGCACUUGCGCUAGCGCUCGUUUGACGUCAUCGCAGCUAUAAAUCACCCGUGUCGCGCCGAUGACGAGCACUCGAGUCACUUCCGUCUUUGGGAGGUACGGUGGUGGCGCUGGCCCUGAAAUAAGACCUCGUGUCGCAUCUGUCGUCGCUUUUGGUAAUCCGUGAAUUUUGCUAACUCCUCUCGCAUGUUUUGCAGGCUCGACUCCAGACGAUGAGGGCGAAGUGGAGGAAGAAGCGCAUGCGCAGGCUGAAGCGCAAAAGGAGGAAGAUGAGGCAGAGGUCCAAGUGAAGUCCGGGCGGAGAAGUCCGCGGCGGCCAGCCGUCCAUCCCUGGGCAGGUCCACCGCCUUCCGGACCCAGGAAAGAUCUUCUCUGCGGACCUCGGUCCAGCUCUGCACUGUUUCCGUUUCAUACGGCCUUCAAUAAAGCGUUAUGGUUUUGAGAGAAAUAUUCCUGACUCUGACGCCGCUUUGGCAGGUUUCCGCUGAUGUUUGUUUGAAUACUGAUCACGCAGAACAACGAAUAAAUUAGUUUUGUUUUAACUGCA
rnacentral:lncRNA from 1 species